GGACGAACGCUGGCGGCGUGCUUAACACAUGCAAGUCGAACGGAAAGGCCUUUUCGGAGGUACUCGAGUGGCGAACGGGUGAGUAACACGUGGGUGAUCUGCCCUGCACUCUGGGAUAAGCCUGGGAAACUGGGUCUAAUACCGGAUAGGACCGCACUUUAGUGUGUGUGGUGGAAAGUUUUUUCGGUGUAGGAUGAGCCCGCGGCCUAUCAGCUUGUUGGUGGGGUAAUGGCCUACCAAGGCGGCGACGGGUAGCCGGACUGAGAGGUUGGUCGGCCACAUUGGGACUGAGAUACGGCCCAGACUCCUACGGGAGGCAGCAGUGGGGAAUAUUGCACAAUGGGCGCAAGCCUGAUGCAGCGACGCCGCGUGGGGGAUGACGGCCUUCGGGUUGUAAACUCCUUUCGCCAGGGACGAAGCGUUUUGUGACGGUACCUGGAGAAGAAGCACCGGCUAACUACGU
rnacentral:rRNA from 1 species